GCAGGCGGUCUGUCAAGUCGGAUGUGAAAUCCCCGGGCUCAACCUGGGAACUGCAUUCGAAACUGGCAGGCUUGAGUCUUGUAGAGGGGGGUAGAAUUCCAGGUGUAGCGGUGAAAUGCGUAGAGAUCUGGAGGAAUACCGGUGGCGAAGGCGGCCCCCUGGACAAAGACUGACGCUCAGGUGCGAAAGCGUGGGGAGCAAACAGGAUUAGAUACCCUGGUAGUCCACGCCGUAAACGAUGUCUACUUGGAGGUUGUGCCCUUGAGGCGUGGCUUCCGGAG
rnacentral:rRNA from 1 species